UAGGGAAUUUUCGUCAAUGGGGGGAACCCUGAACGAGCAAUGCCGCGUGUGUGAAGAAGGUCUUCGGAUCGUAAAGCACUGUUGUAAGUGAAGAAUGCCAUAUAGAGGAAAUGCUAUGUGGGUGGCGGUAGCUUACCAGAAAGCCACGGCUAACUACGUGCCAGCAGCCGCGGUAAUACGUAGGUGGCAAGCGUUAUCCGGAAUCAUUGGGCGUAAAGGGUGCGUAGGUGGCACGAUAAGUCUGAAGUAAAAGGCAACAGCUCAACUGUUGUAUGCUUUGGAAACUGUCGAGCUAGAGUGCAGAAGAGGGCGAUGGAAUUCCAUGUGUAGCGGUAAAAUGCGUAGAUAUAUGGAGGAACGCCAGUGGCGAAGGCGGUCGCCUGGUCUGUAACUGACACUGAUGCACGAAAGCGUGGGGGAGCAAAUAGGAUUAGAUACC
rnacentral:rRNA from 1 species